GUAGUCUCGCACAGAUGCAUAUCAAUAAGCGGAGGAAAAGAAACUAACAAGGAUUCCCCUAGUAACGGCGAGUGAAGCGGGAAGAGCUCAAAUUUGAAAUCUUAAAGGGUUUCCCUUUACGAAUUGUAGUUUAAAGAAGUGUUUUCUGUUGAGGUUUUGGUAAAAGUUCUUUGGAAUAGGACAUCAUAGAGGGUGAGAAUCCCGUAUUUGACCUUUACCUUUCAACUUUGUGAUACACUUUCAAAGAGUCGGAUUGUUUGGGAAUGCAGUCCAAAAUGGGUGGUAAAUUUCAUCUAAAGCUAAAUAUUGGCGAGAGACCGAUAGCGAACAAGUACCGUGAGGGAAAGAUGAAAAGAACUUUGAAAAGAGAGUUAAACAGUACGUGAAAUUGUCAAAAGGGAAGCGUUUGACACCAGUGUUGUUUUUCUGAAAAUCAAUUAAAGAACUGUUUAUGCUAAGUUGUUUAGACUUUAUCAGCUAUCUGUUUAGUUUUGAGCUUUUCUUUAAUGCACUUUUCAGUUAACAAGUCAACAUCAAUUUCUUUUGCUGUAAAAAAGCUUGAGGAAGGUGGCUUGAGAUUCGUCUUAAGUGUUUAUAGCCUCUUGCCUAUGCAGUCGGAGAGAUUGAGGUCUGCAGCGUAGAUCCUUCGGGGCUAAAUGCAUUUGUGCUAAGUUAUAGCAUUUUAUAGACAACUUGUUGACUAUGAUUUGUCUUGUAGCUUACUCGCUUAUGUUAUUUUACCUACGCUUAGGAUGUUGACAGCAGUAUAGACUGU
rnacentral:rRNA from 1 species